UCAUGAGUAAACAUAAAUAACCACAACACCUCAGACACUUUUUUGUAAUAUGUGUGUUUGUGUGUGGGGGGGGGGGUUGCUGUGUCAUAUUUCCUUAUCUCUGGUCAGCAUGCUUGAACUAACGUGCAGCGCCUCCACCUCGGCCUCAAACCCAGACAGCCGCUGUUGGGGGGCAGAAUAGAGGAGGAGGAGGAGGAGGAAGGGAAAAAGAGGUUAACUACAACAGGAUCAGCAGAGAGAGAGAGAGCGGGCGAGCGAGAGGAGCCCAGUGCCUGACAGCUACUGACAGCUGAGCUUCCUCCCUCAGCGGGGCUUUCACAACCACAAACCGACACCGGCUCAGUCGCACACUCGCACACAGACACGCAAAUCGAUUGGCUCCAGCUAAACGCUCACGCACAAAUGACGAUGAUGAGUGCAUGGGACGGUGCGGCCCAAAGAGGAGCUCUUACGUAAGCGCCGAUGCUCGGCGUGAGUCUGGCUGUGCGAUGCCGGCGGGGUUGUCGCUCCUCUCAUCGGCUCCUUGGGCACGUGUGCGCUAAUGGGUCGGUGUGGGGCCACGGCACAACGCGACGCGAGAGCAACAGACCAUUAUAUGUGUGCGACCACCAAGCGACCCCCCGGUGACCCGCCUCAUCUGACCGGACCGCUCCUGUGGACGCUGCUUCACAGCCUCCCUGAACAGCUGAUGUUGUCAUUUAACACAAGGAAAGGGAACAAGGGAAAUACAACUGAAUGCAUGUUUUUAUGCUCUAGUGUAAAAGUGGCCUAUGUAGUUUCUAAGAGACUUUAUUUCUUUCGAGCAGAGCCAGGUGAUAAAGACAGCUGGUGGCUCCAUGUUUAAGGAUAUAGGUUAUGGUCCUGAUCCCACAGGGAGUGAUCAGUGCUCAGUGCAGCGAGGAGAACACUGAACCAGGAUUCACCAGCAGCUCUUUAUAAGGACAAGGGAAAAAUGCCCCGCUGCCUCUAUAUUUAGACAGACUUUAUUGGGCCUCUUGUCUCCGUUUUUCUCCCACCCCUCCACCCGCCUCCCCCCGUGCUGCUGCUGCUGCUGCUGUUAGAAAUCUCUCACCAAAGCCAUGUGGGCGACGGGCCCUCCUCUCCAUCGCAGGGCGGCAGGAGCGAGCUCGAUAAUGAGCUGGGUGAUAAUAACAGAGGAGCGAUGGGGAGAGGAGAGCGGGAGCGUGACAGAGAAGAGGUGGGUGGCCAGAAAAGUGUCCCCGUUUCUGCUUUUAAGCUAUCGCUGUGAUCCACGGUGCUGCUGGGAGAUGCUCCACCAUCCUCCAGCUUGGAGGAGGUCCCAAAGGGGGCACGGUCUCCAUCCAUCUCGCCACUGGCAACCGAAAGGCUCUCCAUCUGCUCCUGCUGCCGUUUACCCACUGAGGCUAAUGCUACAGCAUGAAUAUGUAUAAAUAUGAAUACCCAUGUAGAGUCAUUUCAUGGGUCUGAAUGCCUCCGCUGUUUGUCGUUAUCUCCUAAAUAAAGAUUAUUUCUCAAGAGACCUCUGCUGUAGAGAUUUACUGCCAGAGAAAACAUGGGGCUCUUUCAUUCAUCUGCUGCAUCUCUGUCUUAUCAACUGUUUCCUGGUGAUUUCAAGCAACAGUUAGUGCCGUCAGUAUAGAUGAGGGCUGAUGGUGCUGUCCCAGCAAGCAGGAGAGUUUUAGCUCGGGCGUCUGUCAA